CCUACGGGAGGCAGCAGUGAGGAAUAUUGGUCAAUGGCCGGGAGGCUGAACCAGCCAAGUCGCGUGAGGGAAGACGGCCCUACGGGUUGUAAACCUCUUUUGUCAGGGAGCAAGGUGCAGGUCGGGACCUGCUGUGAGAGUACCUGAAGAAAAAGCAUCGGCUAACUCCGUGCCAGCAGCCGCGGUAAUACGGAGGAUGCGAGCGUUCUCCGGAUUUAUUGGGGUUAAAGGGUGCGCAGGCGGAGGCACAAGUCAGCGGUCAAAUGUCGGGGCUCAACCCCGGCCUGCCGUUGAAACUGGCGGCCUCGAGUGGGCGAGAAGUAUGCGGAAUGCGUGGUGUAGCGGUGAAAUGCAUAGAUAUCACGCAGAACUCCGAGUGCGAAGGCAGCAUACCGGCGCCCGACUGACGCUGAGGCACGAAAGCGUGGGUAUCGAACAGGAUUAGAUACCCCAGUAGUC
rnacentral:rRNA from 1 species